GGAUGAAAGUGCCACGACGUACUUAAUAAAAAGCGAUCUUCACUUGUGUUGCUUAUUGUGUGUCUCCAGCUGAGGGAAUCCAAUCCAGUAAUUUCUAGAUACCUUAGACAUACAAGUUAUGUGAUGUGACUGAUGCCCAGUGGCUUCUAACAUUGUUAUGAGCAUGCCUUUCCCCCCAGUCCUCUUAAGGGUGGAUCUCCAAAGGGACAAUGCAGUCCUUCAGUUGUGAGAAUGAACUCUUACAGGAGACUGCACCUGAGCAACCCAACCUUGAGCCUUUGAAGCCAGUCUCUCUUUUGAAGUAGCAAUGCUGGUAGAAUCUUUUGUAGACCAAAUUGCAUACUUGUUUCAAGAAAGGGGUGUGAUUAAACAUAAUUUUAAGUUUUAUACUUUUUUGUUGUUCAUAUAAUAUAAUUAUAGGUUAAUUAUCAAAUAAUAAUGACAUUGUAAAAGCUACGUGUAAAGUAAGGUAAAUUUGGCAUCUUAUAUUGUCUAUCUUUUCUGCUUAAAGAAAACCUGUUUUUCUUUUUUCUUUUCUUGAAGAUAGAAAGCUAUUUUUUAUUUAAAAUUUUUUUCAUACACUUUUUUUUUCUGAGAAGGAUUAGGGUAAGGAAAAGUAUAGUCAAUAUAUAUUAUUGACUACUUCCUCCCCUAGUCUGAACUCCAUCAUCGUUUCUUCCUCCUCUUUUUAAUGGGGAUAAGUAAACAAAAGUGUAAUUAAAAGUAAAAAAGAAAGUCAAAGAUUUAAACCUUGAGUGAAGUUCUGUGGGUUCAUGGAGAAAACCUGUUUUUCAUGUGUGUUGGCUUCAGGUUUACUUUAUGUGUUGCUAUUACAAGGUAAAGGAGAAUAAGUUAAUGAUAAGAAUAAUAAUUUGUAACUUAAUGAUAGUAGAGCUUAUUCAAUGACAUAGAAAAUUUAAAUGGCUUUUUAAUGUUAUAUGUUGAUUUUUGUUUGUAUUUGUUUUUUGUUUGUAUUUGUUUUUUGUUUGUUUUUGUUUGUUUUGGAUUUCUUUUUAAGACAGUGUCUUGCUAUAUAGCACAGGUUGGCCUGAAAAUUGCCAUGUGAUUCAGGCUGUCUUAAAAUGAGCAAUAAUCCGUCUGCUCCAGCCUCUGAAGUACUAGUAUUAGACAUAUGAACAACUACUCCUGACUUGUGCAGCUGUUUUUAUAAACUGUCGGCAGCUACCAACUCAAGGUUUAUAAGUCAUUGGGAUACACAUUUCCAGGAGAAAAGCUUGCUUCACCUAAACAAAAGGAGGUUUAUUUCCAAAAUUAUCUGUCUGGGAUGCAGAGAUUUCUGAAGAGGUCAGGUGCUGUUUCUCUUUCUGCUCUGUAAAGUAUACAAACAUAGGCUGUCAUCAAAGCAUAUCCUACCUUGUGAAAGUUACCCUAAUUAUAUCCUGAGGAUGGUCAUCCUCAGACAGAUUCAUAGAGAAUAUUGCAAGACAGUAUUAAGGCCAUCACUAAGAGAAUGCUUAUUAUAUAUACUACCAUAUCAUCUGAAAAUAAUGAUACUUUCUUUUUAAGAUUUAUUUAUUUAUUAUAUGUAAGUACACUGUAGUACAGAAGAGGGCAUCCCAUCUCAUUACAGAUGGUUGUGAGCCACAGUGUGGUUGCUGGGAUUUGAACUCAGGGCCUUCGGAAGAGCAGCCAAUGCUCUUAACCACUAAGCCAUCUCUCCAGCCCCAUAAUGAUACAUUCACUUCGUCCUUUCCAAUUUGUAUUCCCUUGAUCUCCUUCAGUUGUCUUAUUGUUCUUACCAAAACUUCAAGUACUAGAUUGAAUAGCUAUGGAGAGAGUGGACAGUCUUGUCUUGUUCCUGAUUUUAGUGGAAUGCUUUACCUUUCUCUUCCUUUAAUUGGAUGUUGGCUAUAGACUUGCUGUAAAUAGCCAGGCAAAGCUUCCAGUGGUGAGACUGGGACACAAUCCACCCACAAAACCUUCGACCUAUAAUCAACCUGUAUGCAAGAUGUACUAGGGCAAUAUCAGAACUUAAAGGAGUUCUGAUAUUAGUCUAACUUGAGGGGUUAGUUAACCAUACCAUGAGAGGGAGCCCAUCCUGCAUGGCCAGGAACUGGAGGCUAAAUAACCCAGAGAUAUAGGGUAGAAUAAUGAGCUACCCCCCAAAAAAACAAAACAAAACAAAUAAGACAAAUCAGUAAAUGAUUCUUAAUGAUAUUCUGCUAUUCUGAUCAGUGCCUAGCCCAAUUGUCAUGGGAGAGGCUUCAUCCAGCAGCUGAUAAGAGCAGAUGCAAAGACCCACAGUUCAACAUUUGGCAGAGCUUAGUGAUCUCCUUAGAAGAAGGAGAGGAAGGACUAUAGGAGCCAGAGGGGUCAAGGACGCCAGGAGAACAAUGACCUACAGAAUCAACUAAACAGGGCUCACAGAGAAUGAAGAGGAAAUCACCAGGCCUGCGUGGGUCUGUGCUAGGUCCUUUGCAUAUAUGUUAUGAUUGUUUAGCUCGGGGAUUUUUGUUGGGCUACUGGAAGUGAGGAUGUCUCUGACCCUUUUGCCUGCCCUUGGGGCCCAUUUUGUCUUAAGGAGUUGCCUCAUUCAGCCUUGAUAGAAGGGUUUGUUCUUAGUCUUAUUGUAUCUUGCUAUGCAUAUGGCCUGCUCCUUUCUGAAGGGAAGGGGAGGAGGAGUGAAUCUGGGGGUGAGGUAGGGGCGGGAGAAGGAAUGGAGGGAGGGGAAAAUGUGGUCAGGAUAUAGGAGAGAACAAUAAAGAAAAAAAAUUAAACAAUCAACUUCAAAUAAAACAAAGC
rnacentral:lncRNA from 1 species